UACAGAGGGUGCAAGCGUUAAUCGGAAUUACUGGGCGUAAAGCGCGCGUAGGUGGUUUGUUAAGUUGGAUGUGAAAUCCCCGGGCUCAACCUGGGAACUGCAUCCAAAACUGGCAAGCUAGAGUAUGGUAGAGGGUGGUGGAAUUUCCUGUGUAGCGGUGAAAUGCGUAGAUAUAGGAAGGAACACCAGUGGCGAAGGCGACCACCUGGACUGAUACUAACACUGAGGUGCGAAAGCGUGGGGAGCAAACAGG
rnacentral:rRNA from 1 species